rnacentral:rRNA from 1 species
UACGUAGGGACCAAGCGUUGUUCGGAUUUACUGGGCGUAAAGGGCGCGUAGGCGGCGUGACAAGUCACUUGUGAAAUCUCCGGGCUUAACUCGGAACGGUCAAGUGAUACUGUUGUGCUAGAGUACAGAAGGGGCAAUCGGAAUUCUUGGUGUAGCGGUGAAAUGCGUAGAUAUCAAGAGGAACACCAGAGGCGAAGGCGGAUUGCUGGGCUGAUACUGACGCUGAGGCGCGAAAGCUAGGGUAGCAAACGGG